rnacentral:rRNA from 1 species
GAUGAACGCUGGCGGCGUGCCUAAUACAUGCAAGUCGAGCGAAUGGAUUAAGAGCUUGCUCUUAUGAAGUUAGCGGCGGACGGGUGAGUAACACGUGGGUAACCUGCCCAUAAGACUGGGAUAACUCCGGGAAACCGGGGCUAAUACCGGAUAACAUUUUGAACCGCAUGGUUCGAAAUUGAAAGGCGGCUUCGGCUGUCACUUAUGGAUGGACCCGCGUCGCGUUAGCUAGUUGGUGAGGUAACGGCUCACCAAGGCAAAGAUGCGUAGCCGACCAGGGAGGGUGAUGGGCCACACUGGGACUGAGACGCGGCCCAGACUCCUACGAGAGGCAGCAGUAGGGAAUCUUCCGCAAUGGACAAAAGUCUGAAGGGGCAACGCCGCGUGAGUGAUGAAGGCUUUCGGGUCGUAAAACUCUGUUGUUAGGGAAGAACAAGUGCUAGUUGAAUAAGCUGGCACCUUGACGGUACCUAACCAGAAAGCCACGGCUAACUACGUGCCAGCCGCCGCCGUAA